CUCCAGGAUCCUGUCAUAGAAUCUGUUUCUGCUAAUAAAUGCAAGCUUUAAGUUAUGCUGCUUUUGAACCCUCUUAUAAGAUGAAACUAGUUGAGAGAUCCUGCAAGUAGCCAAAAUGAUGGAAAGUGAUACAGCUGUAGCAGCACUGUGGUGUUUCUGAGGAUGCUUUUGUUGACUGGCAGGUCCCACAACGUCACAAUCACUGCACUACUCUCAGACACAUGUUGGUAGGUCUUUCCAGCACUUUCUGGCACAGUCCUGUCCAUGUGGCUGGCUACACAGGUGGUUUAUGCACUUUUGUGCUAUAAUUCCUUUUCACAAUAUAAGGAGAUGAAGGCCCAGAAUCUAGAAGUACAUGUGAGCUUCUCUUCCAUUGAAAUCAGUGUAGGUAAAAGGUACAUCUUUGCGUCUCUUCUGGAAUGUUUGAUAUAUGGCAGUAAUUUUCAGGUAG
ensembl:lncRNA